GAAAGCCGUUUACUUAUCUUUAUUGCUCUCUUUACCUAUUUAUAUCACCUCAUCAUCAUCUUCUCUUCUCUACUCUACAAAGCCUUCAUCAAGAAGCAUAUUCAAUUGAAUAAAGGAAGAAGAGAAUUAUAGAGCUUUAUGUUCUUCUAUCAUGCGUGCUCCACCGAUAGUUAAAGCUGCCAGCGUGAUCUGAGCUCUUCUUGUUCUUAUUUUCCUUAUAGGGGAAGAGACUAGAUCAUCUGGCAGCUUCACCUAUUGAUGGUAGCAUGAGAAAUUACCCUAUUCAACUCCAUCUUAUUCUUUGGAUCCGUUUUCUCAACAACACCAUCGGGGUUCUUUUUUUCCUUUGACCAAAAAAUUUAAGGUGAUAAAUACGUUAUAAAUUUAUCAAAUUAAUUGCACAACAUUCCUCUGACACUUCUACGCUUGGGUGAGGUGAGGAUGCAGGCAUACAAUUAGGUAUGCUUAAAUCCUUAUUAAUAAGUUUGUUGGAGAUGGUCAAAUAUUCUUUGUUUGAAAGCUAAAUCUUGGUAAGGCUCUCCAUCCAAAAUCAACAAGAUCCUCCGUCAUGAUAAGAUGAAUUUUUAAAGAAAUUUGUGAUGGUAGUGAAUGGAUUAGAUCAAUACACUUAAGUAAACAGAGUAAUUAGGAUCUUAUUUACUUGGUAAGUCCUAUAAAAUGGAACAACUUACUAUAAAGCGAGUAAGACUUCUUGUGCAAAUAUGACCAACAAGUAUACAUGUCAAAAUUUUGUCAAUUAAGGUUUGUAUAUAAAAAUUGUAUUAAAGUAUAUUUAAAAAAAAAAGAAGGUAAAUGUGUACCGCAAAACAUAGAGUUAAGAUCAAGAGCUCAAAUAGAUAGAACAAAGAAAACCUUCAUCUUAUAAUCCUUUUAUUCUAUCCCCAUGUUGGGCAUUUGCUGUAAAUAUUUGUAUUUCUAAGUUUAGUAUUUGUGCCUUUUUUACUGUUUGUUUUCUUUGGUUUCGUAACACACAGCAUAUUUUCAAGCGAUCCCUUCCUGCAGGUUCGGGACUAUUAUAACACUGGUCCUAAUAUCACUACAGUAAAUCAUGGUUGAGUUGAGGUACAGUUUGUUGCACGCCAUUAAUAAUGGAAUUUUCCAUAUUUCCCAUGACUAGAAAGUAGAAGAAGAAACCAUGCAUAUUGUAAAUUCGGAUUGUUGUUUUGUUACUUAUCAGCAGCCCGGCAAGAGUGCAGAAGGAAGAAGGCAAGGUGUCAGAAAAAUUAAUAAUUUUAACUGACUAGUUAGAAACCGCGUGCUUGAUUAUUUAUGAGGUGCAAUGGAUAUUGGUUACACAUUAAAUGUCAAAUUUUAAGAAAAAGAAAAUUUAGCUCAAUUUUGAUUUUAAAUAGUAAUGUGAAUUUAAAUUUUGAAAUGAAAGCAGUGAUUUUUAUGAUGAUUAUGCUGCACAAUUUUCUGAAGAUUAUACGAACUGAAAGAAUUGAAGUCCCAUGGCCUCGGGAAGUACGUUUAGCCAGAGAGAAGGGAUAUACAUGGAUAGAAAGAGUCCACCUCUAUUUUCCAUAAAUUUUUUCGGUUUGCUUUAGUGGUAUUUCUGAGAAGAGAGGCCAUGGAUAGGCAGUGGAAUGUCGUCCUAAUUGUUGAAAAGGAUUUUUAAUACGUGAGUUAGGGUAUUGCACAUUACAUGUUAUCGUGAUUUGACCUAUUCGUCAAAAACCUAUAUUUACGGUGUA